UACGGAGGAUCCAAGCGUUAUCCGGAAUCAUUGGGUUUAAAGGGUCCGUAGGCGGUUUAAUAAGUCAGUGGUGAAAGCCCAUCGCUCAACGGUGGAACGGCCAUUGAUACUGUUAAACUUGAAUUAUUAGGAAGUAACUAGAAUAUGUAGUGUAGCGGUGAAAUGCUUAGAGAUUACAUGGAAUACCAAUUGCGAAGGCAGGUUACUACUAAUGGAUUGACGCUGAUGGACGAAAGCGUGGGUAGCGAACGG
rnacentral:rRNA from 1 species